UGGCGGACGGGUGAGUAACGCGUGGGUAACCUGCCUUACACAGGGGGAUAACACCUGGAAACAGGUGCUAAUACCGCAUAAGCGCACAGGGCCGCAUGGCCCGGUGUGAAAAACUCUGGUGGUGUAAGAUGGACCCGCGUCUGAUUAGCUUGUUGGCGGGGUAGGGGCCCACCAAGGCGACGAUCAGUAGCCGGCCUGAGAGGGUGGACGGCCACAUUGGGACUGAGACACGGCCCAAACUCCUACGGGAGGCAGCAG
rnacentral:rRNA from 1 species